rnacentral:lncRNA from 1 species
CACUCUCGGAUGAUUGAGGGAACUGAGUUUUGUCUCUGAGUCCAUUCAGUCAAGAUCUGUAAGUAUUGUGCACAGAAAAGAGGAUCCUCUGAGGUGACCUUGGCAAUGGAUACCUUGAAGCUGCAUUAGUUGGGUGAAUUAGCAUUCAGUUAAAUUUCAACAAUUAUCUACUGAACACCUACUGUGCUUGCAGUUCUGCCAGAGAAAGGACUGGAAUUAGACAAAGUGAAUCUCCUGUUUCUGGAAUUAUCAAGAAGACUACAGAAAAUUAUAGGAGUGACUCCGAAAUGCUAUGGAAGAGAUUCCUGCAUUGUCAUGCAUAAAGGCAGAUAUGAGACCUGAAACUGGGGCAGCCAUUGCGAGACCCUGAUGACAGCCAGCCCAAUGGCAAUGCAGACACACACAGCAUGGUGGCAUGAGAUCAUGUCCUAAGAAAUGAGAGAAUUUGAUGUCAUCGUGUGCUGCAGUCAGCCAGCCUUGGAACUCACCAUACCUCUGGACUGCUUGAUAGGUGGAGCAGAAGCUGCAGCUUUACACCUAUGCUUCAGCCUGCGCUGGCCACAGCAGAGAUGACAAGAGACUCGAAGGAGUUUUGUGGAUAGGAACACGAACUAUCUCAAGAGUGACCAGUGUAUACUUAUGGCUGAGG